UACGAAGGGGGCUAGCGUUGUUCGGAAUCACUGGGCGUAAAGGGCGCGUAGGCGGCGAUCCAAGUUAGGCGUGAAAGCCCCGGGCUUAACCUGGGAAUUGCGCUUAAGACUGGACUGCUUGAGUGCGGGAGAGGUGAGUGGAAUUCCCAGUGUAGAGGUGAAAUUCGUAGAUAUUGGGAAGAACACCAGUGGCGAAGGCGGCUCACUGGCCCGCAACUGACGCUGAGGCGCGAAAGCGUGGGGAGCAAACAGG
rnacentral:rRNA from 1 species